AAAGAAAUCUCUGAUUCUUUCAAGGAAAAACCAUCAGAUGUUUUCAUCAAUUUAUCAAAAUUAUUUUCAUCAGGCACUUCUGGAUUAAUAAAGAAUAACGCGGGUUUAUCUGUUUUUUAGAAAAAGUAUUUUAAAUCAGCCCCAUGGACUGAGAAGCCUGCUGCAUUAACCUCUAAGGCAAAGCUCUCUGAAGACGGCCACAGGGACAAAUGAUUUUUUUCUACCCUCACACAGCCACCUCCAAACCAAAGCCCAGGAGAAUAAUGUGGCUGUGUAUAGAACAUCUUGGGAGGAGGAGGAAAUGAGCUGAUUUUAUAAUCUUGGUCCAAUUUCAUCAAAACUGCAUGCAUCACCAACUUACGUGACAAUCGGAACUGAACAGGCAGAAAAAACGCUGAAAUCCAUGGAGCUGCAAUCAGGAUCACAACAGCAGUUGACGUCACAC